rnacentral:rRNA from 1 species
UACAGAGGGGGGCAAGCGUUGUUCGGAAUUACUGGGCGUAAAGGGCUCGUAGGCGGCCAACUAAGUCGGAUGUGAAAUCCCCAGGCUUAACCUGGGAACUGCAUCCGAUACUGGAUGGCUUGAAUCCGGGAGAGGGAUGCGGAAUUCCAGGUGUAGCGGUGAAAUGCGUAGAUAUCUGGAGGAACACCGGUGGCGAAGGCGGCAUCCUGGACCGGCAUUGACGCUGAGGAGCGAAAGCCAGGGGAGCAAACGGG